rnacentral:rRNA from 1 species
GGCGUGCUUAACACAUGCAAGUCGAACGGAAAGGCCCUGCUUUUGUGGGGUGCUCGAGUGGCGAACGGGUGAGUAACACGUGAGUAACCUGCCCUUGACUUUGGGAUAACUUCAGGAAACUGGGGCUAAUACCGGAUAGGAGCUCCUGCUGCAUGGUGGGGGUUGGAAAGUUUCGGCGGUUGGGGAUGGACUCGCGGCUUAUCAGCUUGUUGGUGGGGUAGUGGCUUACCAAGGCUUUGACGGGUAGCCGGCCUGAGAGGGUGACCGGCCACAUUGGGACUGAGAUACGGCCCAGACUCCUACGGGAGGCAGCAGUGGGGAAUAUUGCACAAUGGGCGGAAGCCUGAUGCAGCAACGCCGCGUGCGGGAUGACGGCCUUCGGGUUGUAAACCGCUUUCGCCUGUGACGAAGCGUGAGUGACGGUAAUGGGUAAAGAAGCACCGGCUGACUACGUGCCAGCAGCCGCGGUGAUACGUAGGGUGCGAGCGUUGUCCGGAUUUAUUGGGCGUAAAGGGCUCGUAGGUGGUUGAUCGCGUCGGAAGUGUAAUCUUGGGGCUUAACCCUGAGCGUGCUUUCGAUACGGGUUGACUUGAGGAAGGUAGGGGAGAAUGGAAUUCCUGGUGGAGCGGUGGAAUGCGCAGAUAUCAGGAGGAACACCAGUGGCGAAGGCGGUUCUCUGGGCCUUUCCUGACGCUGAGGAGCGAAAGCGUGGGGAGCGAACAGGCUUAGAUACCCUGGUAGUCCACGCUGUAAACGGUGGGUACUAGGUGUGGGGUCCAUUCCACGGGCUCCGUGCCGUAGCUAACGCUUUAAGUACCCCGCCUGGGGAGUACGGCCGCAAGGCUAAAACUCAAAGGAAUUGACGGGGCCCCGCACAAGCGGCGGAGCAUGCGGAUUAAUUCGAUGCAACGCGUAGAACCUUACCUGGGUUUGACAUGGAUCGGGAGUGCUCAGAGAUGGGUGUGCCUCUUUUGGGGUCGGUUCACAGGUGGUGCAUGGCUGUCGUCAGCUCGUGUCGUGAGAUGUUGGGUUAAGUCCCGCAACGAGCGCAACCCUUGUUCACUGUUGCCAGCACGUUAUGGUGGGGACUCAGUGGAGACCGCCGGGGUCAACUCGGAGGAAGGUGGGGAUGACGUCAAGUCAUCAUGCCCCUUAUGUCCAGGGCUUCACGCAUGCUACAAUGGCUGGUACAGAGAGUGGCGAGCCUGUGAGGGUGAGCGAAUCUCGGAAAGCCGGUCUCAGUUCGGAUUGGGGUCUGCAACUCGACCUCAUGAAGUCGGAGUCGCUAGUAAUCGCAGAUCAGCAACGCUGCGGUGAAUACGUUCCCGGGGCUUGUACACACCGCCCGUCAAGUCAUGAAAGUUGGUAACACCCGAAGCCGGUGGCCUAACCGUUGUGGGGGAGCCGUCGAAGGUGGGACUGGUGAUUAGG